GAUGAAGAACGCAGCGAAAUGCGAUAAGUAAUGUGAAUUGCAGAAUUCAGUGAAUCAUCGAAUCUUUGAACGCACAUUGCGCCCGCCAGUAUUCUGGCGGGCAUGCCUGUCUGAGCGUCAUUUCAACCCUCAUGCCCCUAGGGCGUGGUGUUGGGGAUCGGCCAAAGCCCGCGAGGGACGGCCGGCCCCUAAAUCUAGUGGCGGACCCGUCGUGGCCUCCUCUGCGAAGUAGUGAUAUUCCGCAUCGGAGAGCGACGAGCCCCUGCCGUUAAACCACCAACUUUCCAAGGUUGACCUCAGAUCAGGUAGGAAUACCCGCUGAACUUAAGCAUAUCAAUAAGCGGAGGA
rnacentral:misc_RNA from 1 species